AUGGGGAAGGAGUUCGGGAGCAUGGAGGAGUUCUGGGGGUUCUACCUGGGCCAGCACUCGAAGCCGGCGACGCGGCGCUGGCACUUCGCCGGCACGCUCGCCUCGCUGGUGUGCGCGCUGCUGGCGGCCGCCACCGGCCGCGCCGCGCUCCUGGUGGCCUGCCCUGUGCUCGGCUACGGCAUGGCCUGGUACAGCCACUUCUUCGUGGAGGGCAACCGGCCGGCCACCUUCGGUCACCCCGUCUGGUCCUUCCUCUGCGACUACCGCAUGUUCGCCCUCAUCCUCACCGGCCGCAUCGACGCCGAGCUCGCCCGCCUCCGCGUCCACCCGCGCCUCGCCUCCGACUGA
rnacentral:rRNA from 1 species